rnacentral:rRNA from 1 species
GAUGAACGCUGGCGGCGUGCCUAAUACAUGCAAGUCGAGCGAACAGACGAGGAGCUUGCUCCUCUGACGUUAGCGGCGGACGGGUGAGUAACACGUCGAUAACCUACCUAUAAGACUGGGAUAACUUCGGGAAACCGGAGCUAAUACCGGAUAAUAUAUUGAACCGCAUGGUUCAAUAGUGAAAGACGGUUUUGCUGUCACUUAUAGAUGGAUCCGCGCCGCAUUAGCUAGUUGGUAAGGUAACGGCUUACCAAGGCAACGAUGCGUAGCCGACCUGAGAGGGUGAUCGGCCACACUGGAACUGAGACACGGUCCAGACUCCUACGGGAGGCAGCAGUAGGGAAUCUUCCGCAAUGGGCGAAAGCCUGACGGAGCAACGCCGCGUGAAUGAUGAAGGUCUUCGGAUCGUAAAACUCUGUUAUUAGGGAAGAACAAAUGUGUAAGUAACUAUGCACGUCUUGACGGUACCUAAUCAGAAAGCCACGGCUAACUACGUG